GCAUAAUACAGGUCCGUCGGUGCCUCGCAAUCGAGGCCUAAGAGGGAACACAGCAAACUGUGGCUGCCCCCGCAAUUGUACGCAGCGAGUCCGCGCUCCACUGCCACUGGUUUUUACCGGGAAGGCCGGCGCGAAUGAAGACCUGCCAGCCAAGAGACCUGCCGAUUCACCGCAUUCGCG
rnacentral:ncRNA from 1 species